rnacentral:lncRNA from 1 species
CCACCCGAUUCGUGGCCUAUCCCCCUCAGUGGGUUUGUGCCAUUACCUGAGGCUUCAUCAUCAUCAUCAUCAUCAAUCCCCCACUGCAGUACAUUUAUCGAAUGUGCCAGCGAAGGUAGAACGAUGCUCCCACUCAUACUUUUCAGCUUGGUAUCUGGAAGCUUGCUAGGGGGCUACGGCGAUUGUGUGAUGGACAGUGUGUUAAACGAGAACAGCUCCCUGAAGGCAAGAUACCCACUAAAUGUCGCGAUAGGGCCACCGACCAUAUCGAGAUGUUUGUCCUUUGGACAUGGAGCUUAUGUUUGGACCGCCAUGCUUGUCGUGGCCGCACUUUUGAAGGCAGUGGUGACCAGGGACCUGAAAAAAUUCGUGAAGAGUAGAAGUGGUCGCAAGUUGUGCCUGCUGCAUGAGCUCGAACGAUCAAAGUAUUACCUUGUCGGGGACUUCGCGCUCUGCGCGCUCCCGUUGAUGGAUGCUGAGAACUAUGCCGUUUGCCAUGGUGGUUUGUUAUGUGUUUACGUCUUAUGCUCAAGUAGUCUGAUCGCGACGAAGGCCACAGCACUGAAGAGAGUGUGUGUUGAGGGCGUAGCAAGGGCCGCCAGCAACUUCGUAAGGCUGGCUACAUUACCUGCGGCCGUUUUCCUGAUCAGCUCGGGCUCCUUCAAGGAAUACGUUUCCGCAUUCGC